rnacentral:rRNA from 1 species
GAUGAACGCUAGCUACAGGCUUAACACAUGCAAGUCGCGGGGCAGCAUGGGGGUUGCUUGCAAUCCCCGAUGGCGACCGGCGCACGGGUGAGUAACGCGUAUCCAACCUGCCCUUCACCACGGGAUAACCCGGCGAAAGUCGGACUAAUACCGUAUGUUGUCCAUUGACGGCAUCCGAUUUGGACGAAAGGCUUGGCGGUGAGUGAUGGGGAUGCGUCCGAUUAGCCAGACGGCGGGGUAACGGCCCACCGUGGCUACGAUCGGUAGGGGUUCUGAGAGGAAGGUCCCCCACACUGGAACUGAGCCACGGUCCAGACUCCUACGGGAGGCAGCAGUGAGGAAUAUUGGUCAAUGGGCGUAAGCCUGAACCAGCCAAGUAGCGUGCAGGAUGACGGCCCUAUGGGUUGUAAACUGCUUUUAUGCGGGGAUAAAGUGGCCCACGUGUGGGCUUUUGCAGGUACCGAAUGAAUAAGGACCGGCUAAUUCCGUG